CAAGUCGCACGAGAAAGCAGUAGCAAUAUUGUGAGUACAGUGGCGUACGGGUGAGUAACACGUGGAUCAUCUACCUUCUAGUGGGGAAUACCCCCGGGAAACUGGGGACAAUACCGCAUAAGCUCGUAAGAGGAAAGCAGCAAUGCGCUGGAAGAGGAGUCCGCGGCUGAUUAGCUAGUUGGCGGGGUAAUGGCCCACCAAGGCGAAGAUCGGUAGCCGGCCUGAGAGGGCACACGGCCACACUGGCACUGAAACACGGGCCAGACUCCUACGGGAGGCAGCAGUGGGGAAUCUUGCACAAUGGAGGAAACUCUGAUGCAGCGACGCCGCGUGAGCGAUGAAGCCCUUCGGGGUGUAAAGCUCUUUCGACGGGAACGAUAAUGACGGUACCCGAAGAAGAAGCUGCGGCUAACUACGUGCCAGCAGCCGCGGUAAUACGUAGGCAGCGAGCGUUGUUCGGAAUUACUGGGCGUAAAGAGUGUGUAGGCGGUGCUCUAAGUCUGGUGUGAAAUCUCCCGGCUCAACUGGGAGGGUGCGCUAGAAACUGGAAUGCUAGAGGAUGGGAUAGGUAAGCGGAAUUCCUGGUGUAGCGGUGAAAUGCGUAGAUAUCAGGAGGAACACCUGUGGUGUAGACAGCUUACUGGACCAUUUCUGACGCUGAGACACGAAAGCGUGGGUAGCAAACAGGAUUAGAUACCCUGGUAGUCCACGCCCUAAACGAUGCAUACUUGGUGUGAGCGAUUCAUUUCGUUCGUGCCGGAGCUAACGCGUUAAGUAUGCCGCCUGGGGAGUACGGUC
rnacentral:rRNA from 1 species